GCCGGAGUGGUGGAAUGGCAGACGCGGUGGACUCAAAAUCCACUGAGGGCGACCUCGUGGGGGUUCAAGUCCCCCCUCCGGCACCA
rnacentral:tRNA from 1 species